GAGCGAGUACAGGAGGAGGAGGAGGGGUGAGGGAGAGAGGGAGAGAGAGAGUGCAAACAAUGUCAUUCUGUUCAGGAGGCAAUGCUGCAGUCAACUUUGCCGCGCCAUGAAAGCACAUCACCAGCAACGAAGAGGCUCAGAGUGAGUGCAGAGAAGUUUUCCUCCUCUUCCUCCUGUGGGUGAUGUGGCCCAAGACACUGUAGGAGCUGGCUGCUGGCUCAUUCACCAGGUCCGGCUGUUGGUGGCGUGUUGGAACAUGCCUUGACUUGUACAGCCUGAGUCAAGCAGGGAGAAACAGCCAGAGAGAGAGAGAGAGAGAGAGAGAGAGAGAGAGAGAGAGAGAGAGAGAGAGAGAGAGAGAGAGGAUAAACUGAGGGAGAGGAGAGGCUUGUGGUCAACAGUUUGCCAGUGUGAAGUGCCCCACACCAUGGGAGAGCCCUGCAACACCGGUAGACAGACUCCUGUUGAUGUCAGCAGCAGUGUGUACUCGCUGGAGACGAGCAUGGAUGGAGCAGCUCUGCGUCUGCCUCAUUACUUGCUUCUGGCAGUUGGCACAGGAUGACUCCGUUGCCUCCUGACAAGCUCCACUACAAAGCUGGCCGUGAACAGAGAGAGCGUCCGUAGUGCCAGACUCUCAGGUGGAAGUGUGAAGCUGAAACCUGGUCAGGUUCCCGCC